AUGGACGGGACGGCUCCAGGAGAGCUCCCACAUCUGCCAGCUCUGCUCUCGCAGCCCUGCACCGGGGAACGGAGCUGGGGCACCCCUGUGCCAGCCCAGCUCGGCCCAACCCAGCCCAGCCCGGCCCAGCCCGGCCCGGCCCAGCCCGGCCUUUCUCAGGGGGGGGGGGGGGGGGGGGGGGGGGGGGGGGGAGGUGCUGCCCGGCCCCGCCACCGCCUGCAGCAAAAGCAGCUCUGUGCGGACAGCCCGGCUCAGCCAGGCUCGGCACCAGCCUCACCCCUGCCCCGGACUCGCCAAGGCAAGAGCUGGCCCGGCAGGAUGGGACGAGUCUCCCCUCGCUCCUGCAAGCGGCUGCUGAGCUCCUGUCGCGGGGCUGUACCAUGGAAAUACCCCGGGGCUGUGCCACGGAAAUGCCCCAGAGCUGUGCCACUGAAAUACCCCAGGACUGUGGCACAGAAAUACCCCAGAGCUGUGCCACGGAAAUACCCCGGGGCUGUGCCACGGAAAUGCCCCAAAGCUGUGCCACAGAAAUACCCCAGAGCUGUGCCAUGGAAAUACCCCAGAGCUGUGCCAUGGAAAUACCCCAGGACUGUGGCACAGAAAUACCCCAGAGCUGUGCCACUGAAAUACCCCAGGACUGUGGCACAGAAAUACCCCAGAGCUGUGCCACUGAAAUACCCCAGGACUGUGGCACAGAAAUACCCCAGAGCUGUGCCACUGAAAUACCCCAGGACUGUGGCACAGAAAUACCCCAGAGCUGUGCCACUGAAAUACCCCAGGACUGUGGCACAGAAAUACCCCAGAGCUGUGCCACUGAAAUACCCCAGGACUGUGGCACAGAAAUACCCCAGAGCUGUGCCACUGAAAUACCCCAGGACUGUGGCACAGAAAUACCCCAGAGCUGUGCCACUGAAAUACCCCAGGACUGUGGCACAGAAAUACCCCAGAGCUGUGCCACUGAAAUACGCUGUGCCCACUGGGCCAUCCCUGGGCUGUGCCUACAAAAACGUUCUUUGUGGGUCUCCAGUCGCCCCUUGGGAUUUUGGGGGAGCUCCUAUCCCGGGCAGGCUCAUCCCUCCCCCCAGAGGACCCCAACCCUUCCCAAGGCAGCUCCAGCUGCCCCCGCUCCGCCUCCGAGCACACCGGGACCCGCCCUGGAUGGCACCGCCCUUCACUUUCGCCUCUCCAGGUGACUCAGGCUCGCUCCCAUCUUUGAUGUGGGGAGGAACAAAGCGAGGAGGAGCCGCGCUCCCACCUCUGCCCGGCUUUUUGCUGAGGUGGCAGCAGCCCAGGGCUCGGGUCCCGGCGGUGCCGCCGAGGGGAACACUCACAUGUCACAGCUUCGGGAGCGCCGCAGAGCUCGGCCCGGGGGGCUUUGGUCAGCGCCGCUGGGGAUUUCUCGUCUUCCAGGGUUUUCUCCUUCUUGGGCACCGCGGGGCGGGCGAGUGGCAGCGCUGGGAUUUGCCUCGGGGGAGGCAGCGAGGGCUCAGCCACCUCUGCAAGAGAAACAGGGUUAGAGCCGAGCCCCCCGACUCACCCGGACCCCCAGACACCGCCCCGAGCUCUGAUUCCCGAGCUCUGACUCCCCAGCUCAUCCCUGGAGCACACUGGGCACCGCGGGGGAUUCGGGCUGCAUCACUCCGCAGCUGCUCACCCCGCUGCAGCUCCAUCCCAAAAACCCUCCCGGGCUCUCACAUUCCUUCUCCAAAAAGCCAAGGGAUCUGGUUACACUCAGCAGCUCAAGCUGGAUUUUUCAUCCCCCUUCCCAUGAAAGGGCCACUGUCUUCCCAGCGGGAGCUGGCUGCCACCUUCCCUCUCCAUCCCAGGGGAAUGUGGGGUGCCUGCUCCAUCCCAUGGGGAAUGUGGGGGGGGGGGGGGGGGGGGGGGGGGGGGGGGGGGGGGGGGGGGGGGGGGGGGGGGGGGGGGGGGGGGGGGGGGGGGGGGGGGGGGGGGGGGGGGGGGGGGGGGGGGGGGGGGGGGGGGGGGGGGGGGGGGGGGGGGGGGGGGGGGGGGGGGGGGGGGGGGGGGGGGGGGGGGGGGGGGGGGGGGAAUGUGGGGUGCCUGCUCCAUCCUACAGGGAAUGUGGGGUGCCUCCUCCAUCCCAUAGGGAAUGUGGGGUGUCUGCUCCAUCCUAUAGGGAAUGUGGGGUGCCUGCUCCAUCCCAUGGGAAUGUGGGGUGUCUGCUCCAUCCCAGGGGAAUGUGGGGUCCGUGCUCCAUCCUACAGGGAAUGUGGGGUGCCCAGGGGGGCUCGGUGUGACGCCACACUCCCCCAGCCCCUCCCUCUGCCCAUCCCCCGGAAUAGCAAUGUCUUGCACAACAGGGCUGGAGAGCACUUUAUAUAAAACUAAAUUAUAGGCUGGGCAGAGGGAGGGAGAGCAGAGCCAUAAUUGGCCUGGCUGCAACAGGAGCCCUGCCAGGGAGGGGAGGGGAAGGGGAAAAGGGACCUGGGACACUUCAUUAUCCUCGAUAAAACCAGGAUCCCACACACCAGAGCCGAGGAGGAAGGAGGGCAAUUAGGGAUAAUUAAAAGGAGUAUAAUCAAGGAAGUUGGGGUGUUCCAGCAGCACCCCGGGAUCAGCAGGAGCCUGGAAAUGCUGCAGAGGGACUGCAGCCGGUCUGGAGUGAUGCAGCUCCACAACAUCCCCUAAAGUCAUCCACGUGCCUCAGUUUCCCCUCUGUGCCCUCCCCAGGGUGCUGCAGCUCCUGAGGCAGGGGAGGAAAACUCAUCCCAGCACAGACCCCUGCUCACAGUGAGGCGAUUUUGGGGCUCAGCCAAGGGAAAUCCAGCAGCUGCAGCUGAAUUUUGCACACGAGCAUUGGCUCCAAAUCCCGGUGCAGUGAGAGCACGUGAGCCCCAGAGAGAGAAAAGCCAUUCCCGUGGAAAGCCCGGGGCAAAACGGAGAGGUGAGGAGAGCAGGCUGUCAUCUCCUCAUGGGUGUAGAGGUGUGGGGGUGAAUAACAAUCCACACAUCGCUGAAUGCACAGCCUGUGUCAUGUCCCAACCUGGACUGGCCCGAGUCAGCCCUGACGCAGAGCCAGACAUGAAAUCCUGAGGGGUGAGGAGCUCUGAGGUGUCCCUGGGAAGGAACCAGAGCUCUGGUUUCUGCUGUGAGAUCCCAGAGUGUGUUCAGGGCUUCAAACCCCCCAGAACAGCCACAUCACCCUCAAACCCCCUUCCUGCAGAUCAGUGCUUGGGACAAAGAGCUGGAAAAUCAGGUGCAGCAGCAGGAGAAGGGCUGGCACAGCAGAUCCCUGUCCCUGUCCCUGUCCCUGUCCCUGUCCCUGUCCCUGUCCCUGUCCCUGUCCCUGUCCCUGUCCCUCUGUGCUGCCUCCAGAGCAUCCCUCACCACUCUGUGCCCAUUCCUGGGGACAAGGACGGGCUGGAGCUCUGUGGGAGCUGGCUGGGACAUCCAGGGAGCUGCUCUGACCAGGAUGGAGCCCAGCUCGUCCCUGUCCCGACUGGGAUGGAGCCCAGCUCGUCGCUGCCCCUGUCCCGACUGGGAUGGAGCCCAGCUCGUCCCUGCCGUGUCGACUUCACACCUGUAAUUACCCCGCACAAGGGCUCACACACAACCACAGCCACGCGGAGAGGAA
rnacentral:lncRNA from 1 species